rnacentral:rRNA from 1 species
UGGGGAAUAUUGCACAAUGGGCGCAAGCCUGAUGCAGCAACGCCGCGUGAGGGACGACGGCCUUCGGGUUGUAAACCUCUUUUGGCAGGGAAGAAGCGAAAGUGACGGUACCUGCAGAAAAAGCACCGGCUAACUACGUGCCAGCAGCCGCGGUGAUACGUAGGGUGCAAGCGUUGUCCGGAUUUACUGGGUGUAAAGGGCGCGCAGGCGGGAUAAAAAGUCAGUGGUGAAAUCCUACAGCUUAACUGUAGAACUGCCUUUGAUACUUUUAUUCUUGAGUUCGGGAGAGAGAGACGGAAUUCCAGGUGUAGUGGUGAAAUACGUAGAUAUCUGGAAGAACACCAGUUGCGAAGGCGGUCUCUUGGUCCGACACUGACGCUGAGGCGCGAAAGCGUGGGGAGCAAACA